UAUGACACUGGCAAAGAAUGAGCAU
rnacentral:misc_RNA from 1 species